UGGAGUUGUGACUAGUAUGUGGGUCUCCUGAUACCUUUAGCAGUGCUUUACCCCUGGAACCAAUGAUUGUGAUGUGCUUUCUAACAAGCUGGGAAUAUCAUUCUUCUCAUUUGAUUUUUCUGCUUCAGAACCCAGAACUAGUUGCCCGGCUGGAGAAGAUUAAGAUACAGCUGGCCAAUGAGGAAUAUAAGCGGAUCACCCGCAACGUCACUUGUCAGGAUACAAGACAUGGUGGGACUCUCAGCGACCUGGGAAAGCAAGUGAGAUCAUUGAAGGCUCUGGUCAUCACCAUCUUCAAUUUCAUUGUCACGGUGGUUGCUGCCUUCGUCUGCACUUACCUUGGAAGCCAAUAUAUCUUCACAGAAAUGGCCUCGGUGAGUAGGCACUGGGCAGGGCAGGGUGCCCCUGGUAGGGGUGUUAGUGGGUAAGGGAGGACGUAUGUGAAAGUGCCUUGCACAGGUGAGGUAUUGAACAGAUAUUUAUGCCAUUAAUAAGGGGAGCAUUAGAGCUUUCCAGCAGUCACGGGAGGUUAGGUAAUAACCCCAGGAGAAGCCACAUUCUCUUUUCUUCCCCUCCCCCAACUUAGAGGGUGGUUGGGGGCUCUCCAUCCUCAUUAAAGUUGCUGGGGUACAGA
rnacentral:sRNA from 1 species